GUGACAGUGACGUCAGCUGAUCGCACGGCACGUGGUUAGUGAACGCCGCAGCUUCAAAAAUAAAGUCAAAGGCAUCAGUUCAAACCCACAGGAAAAAGAUGCGUACCCAGGGUUAAUCCAUCAGCCAAUCUGCACCAGAUUUUUUGUGCGUCGCCGAGGAGCGCUGCCAAAUGCAUCGGUACGUAUCGUCUGGCAGACGGGCGUGGGAACUGCGGGAGAGCGUCUGCGGUGGCUGGCUGGCGGCGGUGCCGGAACCCCGGCGGUUGGAGCGGCGCUGAGCUCUGAGGGCCGUCCGACGCCGUUUGCGGCUUUAAUUCUUAUUGUUGAAAUAAAAUUUACUAUUGGCUGAAUUUGGGGUUUUCAAGAAGUCUAAGCUAAGCCAUCAGUUGGACUGCCAUGUUUGAUCUCACUUCUAAACAUCCAACAAUGUUUUUUUUUUUUUUCAACUUUUCAAGAAAUUUAGGAUGAUUGCACAAGUUUGGGAAACACUCUAGGUUAAUUUAUUACAGAAACAUUCACAAGACAUCCACAGUCAGUGCAGACGUGUGAACCUUUUGGCAGUUUUAAACAUAGUACCACAAUGUAAUAAAAAACAAGCCACAUAAAACAAAUUCAUUUAAGCAUAAAACAUACAAAAACAUAAAAAAGAAACUGUUAUUACAAAUUGCAUUGGUCCUGCAUUUUAAAAAAACAAACUUAAGAUCUUAAUUGUAUUGAACACUUGGUCAUUUUUGUUUGCAGUUUACUCACGAAAGCAUUGAAAAUGAAGAUUUCGGAGAUCGUUUUAGAAGAAAAAAAAAAAGAGUUUCUCAAA